rnacentral:rRNA from 1 species
UACGUAGGGGGGCAAGCGUUGUCCGGAAUCAUUGGGCGUAAAGAGCGUGUAGGCGGCUCGGUAAGUCCGCUGUGAAAGUCCAGGGCUCAACCCCUGGAAUGCCGGUGGAAAACUGUCGAGCUAGAGUCCGGAAGAGGCGAGUGGAAUUCCUGGUGUAGCGGUGAAAUGCGCAGAUAUCAGGAGGAACACCAAUGGCGAAGGCAGCUCGCUGGGACGGUACUGACGCUGAGACGCGAAAGCGUGGGGAGCAAACAGG